rnacentral:rRNA from 1 species
AACGAACGCUGGCGGCAGGCCUAACACAUGCAAGUCGAACGCUCCGCAAGGGGAGUGGCGCACGGUGAGUAACACGUGGGAACCUACCUUCUGGUACGGAACAACCAAGGGAAACUUUGGUCUAAGACCGUAUACGACCUCCGGGUGAAAGAUUGAUCGCCGGAAGAGGGGCCCGCGUCCGAUUAGGUAGUUGGUGAGGUAACGGCUCACCAAGCCUUCGAUCGGUAGCUGGUCUGAGAGGAUGACCAGCCACACUGGGACUGAGACACGGCCCAGACUCCUACGGGAGGCAGCAGUGGGGAAUAUUGGACAAUGGGCGCAAGCCUGAUCCAGCCAUGCCGCGUGAGUGAUGAAGGCCUUCGGUUGUUAAG